rnacentral:rRNA from 1 species
GGGGUAACGGCUCACCUAGGCGACGAUCCCUAGCUGGUCUGAGAGGAUGACCAGCCACACUGGAACUGAGACACGGUCCAGACUCCUACGGGAGGCAGCAGUGGGGAAUAUUGCACAAUGGGCGCAAGCCUGAUGCAGCCAUGCCGCGUGUAUGAAGAAGGCCUUCGGGUUGUAAAGUACUUUCAGCGGGGAGGAAGGUGAUGAGGUUAAUAACCUUGUCGAUUGACGUUACCCGCAGAAGAAGCACCGGCUAACUCCGUGCCAGCAGCCGCGGUAAUACGGAGGGUGCAAGCGUUAAUCGGAAUUACUGGGCGUAAAGCGCACGCAGGCGGUCUGUCAAGUCGGAUGUGAAAUCCCCGGGCUCAACCUGGGAACUGCAUUCGAAACUGGCAGGCUAGAGUCUUGUAGAGGGGGGUAGAAUUCCAGGUGUAGCGGUGAAAUGCGUAGAGAUCUGGAGGAAUACCGGUGGCGAAGGCGGCCCCCUGGACAAAGACUGACGCUCAGGUGCGAAAGCGUGGGGAGCAGACAGGAUUAGAUACCCUGGUAGUCCACGCCGUAAACGAUGUCGACUUGGAGGUUGUGCCCUUGAGGCGUGGCUUCCGGAGCUAACGCGUUAAGUCUACCGCCUGGGGAGUACGGCCGCAAGGUUAAAACUCAUAUGAAUUGACGGGGGCCCGCACAAGCGGUGGAGCAUGUGGUUUAAUUCGAUGCAACUCGGAGAACCUUACCUACUCUUGACGUCCGGAGAACUUAACAUAGAUGCUUUGUUGCCUUCGGGAACUCUGAGACAGGUGCUGCAUGGCUGUCGCCACCUCCCGCCCGAAAUGAUGUGUUAACUCAAGCACGAGUGCAUCCUUAUCCUUGGUGGGCGCGGUUGGG